rnacentral:rRNA from 1 species
CUUUCAGCUUGUUGGUGAGGUAAUGGCUCACCAAGGCGACGACGGGUAGCCGGCCUGAGAGGGUGACCGGCCACACUGGGACUGAGACACGGCCCAGACUCCUACGGGAGGCAGCAGUGGGGAAUAUUGCACAAUGGGCGAAAGCCUGAUGCAGCGACGCCGCGUGAGGGAUGACGGCCUUCGGGUUGUAAACCUCUUUCAGUAGGGAACAAGGCCAGCUUUUUGGUUGGUUGAGGGUACUUGCAGAAGAAGCGCCGGCUAACUACGUGCCAGCAGCCGCGGUAAUACGUAGGGCGCAAGCGUUAUCCGGAAUUAUUGGGCGUAAAGAGCUCGUAGGCGGUUUGUCGCGUCUGCCGUGAAAGUCCGGGGCUCAACUCCGGAUCUGCGGUGGGUACGGGCAGACUAGAGUGAUGUAGGGGAGACUGGAAUUCCUGGUGUAGCGGUGAAAUGCGCAGAUAUCAGGAGGAACACCGAUGGCGAAGGCAGGUCUCUGGGCAUUAACUGACGCUGAGGAGCGAAAGCAUGGGGAGCGAACAGGAUUAGAUACCCUGGUAGUCCAUGCCGUAAACGUUGGGCACUAGGUGUGGGGGACAU